rnacentral:rRNA from 1 species
UUGAACGCUGGCGGCAGGCCUAACACAUGCAAGUCGAACGGUAACAGGAAACAGCUUGCUGUUUCGCUGACGAGUGGCGGACGGGUGAGUAAUGUCUGGGAAACUGCCUGAUGGAGGGGGAUAACUACUGGAAACGGUAGCUAAUACCGCAUAACGUCGCAAGACCAAAGAGGGGGACCUUCGGGCCUCUUGCCAUCGGAUGUGCCCAGAUGGGAUUAGCUAGUAGGUGGGGUAACGGCUCACCUAGGCGACGAUCCCUAGCUGGUCUGAGAGGAUGACCAGCCACACUGGAACUGAGACACGGUCCAGACUCCUACGGGAGGCAGCAGUGGGGAAUAUUGCACAAUGGGCGCAAGCCUGAUGCAGCCAUGCCGCGUGUAUGAAGAAGGCCUUCGGGUUGUAAAGUACUUUCAGCGGGGAGGAAGGGAGUAAAGUUAAUACCUUUGCUCAUUGACGUUACCCGCAGAAGAAGCACCGGCUAACUCCGUGCCAGCAGCCGCGGUAAUACGGAGGGUGCAAGCGUUAAUCGGAAUUACUGGGCGUAAAGCGCACGCAGGCGGUUUGUUAAGUCAGAUGUGAAAUCCCCGGGCUCAACCUGGGAACUGCAUCUGAUACUGGCAAGCUUGAGUCUCGUAGAGGGGGGUAGAAUUCCAGGUGUAGCGGUGAAAUGCGUAGAGAUCUGGAGGAAUACCGGUGGCGAAGGCGGCCCCCUGGACGAAGACUGACGCUCAGGUGCGAAAGCGUGGGGAGCAAACAGGAUUAGAUACCCUGGUAGUCCACGCCGUAAACGAUGUCGACUUGGAGGUUGUGCCCUUGAGGCGUGGCUUCCGGAGCUAACGCGUUAAGUCGACCGCCUGGGGAGUACGGCCGCAAGGUUAAAACUCAAAUGAAUUGACGGGGGCCCGCACAAGCGGUGGAGCAUGUGGUUUAAUUCGAUGCAACGCGAAGAACCUUACCUGGUCUUGACAUCCACGGAAGUUUUCAGAGAUGAGAAUGUGCCUUCGGGAACCGUGAGACAGGUGCUGCAUGGCUGUCGUCAGCUCGUGUUGUGAAAUGUUGGGUUAAGUCCCGCAACGAGCGCAACCCUUAUCCUUUGUUGCCAGCGGUCCGGCCGGGAACUCAAAGGAGACUGCCAGUGAUAAACUGGAGGAAGGAGGGGAUGACGUCAAGUCAUCAUGGCCCUUACGACCAGGGCUACACACGUGCUACAAUGGCGCAUACAAAGAGAAGCGACCUCGCGAGAGCAAGCGGACCUCAUAAAGUGCGUCGUAGUCCGGAUUGGAGUCUGCAACUCGACUCCAUGAAGUCGGAAUCGCUAGUAAUCGUGGAUCAGAAUGCCACGGUGAAUACGUUCCCGGGCCUUGUACACACCGCCCGUCACACCAUGGGAGUGGGUUGCAAAAGAAGUAGGUAGCUUAACCUUCGGGAGGGCGCUUACCACUUUGUGAUUCAUGACUGGGGUG